ensembl:lncRNA
CUCCGCCGGGGCUGUCCGCUCCCCCCUCCGGACGGAUACGGGGCGAGGCGGGGGGCGGCCGGGCCCCGCGGGGCCGUCACCGCACCCACCCCACCCCCUCCUGGAAAGAAGGGAGAGAGAUAACGGACACCCCGCAGGGUGUGCGCAGGGCCGAGGUGCAGGAGAUGGGUGAAAUCAAAUACGCCCGGAGGGCGCGGGGCUGCAGCCCCACCUGAGCUCCCAGCGCACCUGGGCACGGCCCGGCACGGCUGUGCGAGGCUGUCCCGCCCAGAGCAGCCCCGUAGUCACCCCCGCGCACACCUCGGCCUUAAGGACAGGAGACCCCCGGUGCCUGUGGGUCUGCCACGAAAGUCCCGGCGCUCAGCGAGCCGCCACGUGUGUUCGAACACGGACAAGUCGCCUCUUUUGCCCCCUGCCCCUCCAAAAGCGCAGUUUGCCCAACUUCUCUGCUUCUUCAUUUGCUGCUUCUCAGUCUUUAGCGUGGGAGAACCUGGAGAGGGACAGCCUGGGCUGCGCGUGGCGUGGGAUUAGCGGUAGCCCCGAGGAAGGCUGUACACGGGUUUAGAUUAGGAUAAAGCGUUUAUUGAUCGUUGCCUAGAGAUGCCCACUGCCGAAACGCUGAGUUCCUUCGCCCCUUCUCUUCGCUCUGCCUUCCUCCUCCUCCCCGCAAACCAAACUUAAAGUGAAAAGAAAAAAAAAAAAAAAAAAGCACUGCGCUCUGCCAUUUCAGUCUAAACUCUUGGGUCCAUGUGCGAAAGAUAAAAAUGAAUUUGAAUCGCCAUUGGAAAAAAUCAGGAAUUGUAUGAGAUUUGCAAGAGCUGCUUUCUUAAACGGAAAUUGAGUCCUAUUUUGUGGGAAAUUAGUUUUGCAGACUUUCUGAAAAAAAAAAAAAAAAAUCUAAAACUUUUGUUCAGCAGCUGCUCCACUUUUCCCUGCAGUUUCAGGCUGAGCUGGAACCUGCAGCAGUCUUUCGACGGACUUCUGUAGCCUCGCUUGGUACUUUACGUUGGAGGCUAAAAGCACCAUCUUCCCGAGCAAUGCCAGAAUGCCUUUCCAGGACCAGCAGCAGGGGGCAUAUCUCAUAAUUCUGCUUCCAUUGGGGGGAUGGUAGCAGCGUGAUAAGUCCCUAAUCUUCAUCACCUCUUUUGCACAUUAAUGAGGAAAAUACAGCUCGCAGUGUACAUACCUCACCACUUCUAAUUUUCUCGGCUCUGGAAUGAGAAAAAGACACGUACGCAUGGAUGAACGCAUCAAGCAUAAAUAACCAUACAGUAUCUAGGUUUUAAUAGCUGUUGGGAUUAUGUCACCUACUCUGCAGGUAUAUAUGCCUAUGAUUUACAGUGUGAAGAGCUCUAGACUCAGAGCAAAAAGCCAGAACUAGUGAGUAUUCAGGAGAGAAUGAUAUUCAUCACCCCGAGGAGCUCAGGCUCUGUUCAUUUCACUUGCUUCACGUGGGAGUGCUCCUGCUUUUUUACAGAGUCCUGUUUGCGUUCACGGCGAUUUGCUCCACUAAAAACAUUCGCAGAGUUGGAACCUUAAUUAAUAGUAGCUGUAGGAAACAGCAAAAAAACACAUGUAGCUUUUUGUAGUUUUUUAGGCAUAGCUGUAUUGUAGCCCUCAGCGUUUAAUGUCAG